UGGGGAAUAUUGCACAAUCGGCGCAAGCCUGAUGCAGCCAUGCCGCGUGUGUGAAGAAUGCCUUCGGGUUGUAAAGCACUUUCAGCGGGGAGGAAGGCGAUAAGGUUAAUAACCUUGUCGAUUGACGUUACCCGCAGAAGAAGCACCGGCUAACUCCGUGCCAGCAGCCGCGGUAAUACGGAGGGUGCAAGCGUUAAUCGGAAUUACUGGGCGUAAAGCGCACGCAGGCAGUUUGUUAAGUCAGAUGUUAAAUCCCCGGGCUCAACCUGGGAAAUGCAUCUGAUACUGACAAGCUUUAGUCUCGUAGAGGGGGGUAGAAUUCCAGGUGUAGCGGUGAAAUGCGUAGAGAUCUGGAGGAAUACCGGUGGCGAAGGCGGCACCCUGGACGAAGACUGACGCUCAGGUGCGAAAGCGUGGGGAGCAAACAGG
rnacentral:rRNA from 1 species